CCUACGGGAGGCAGCAGUGAGGAAUAUUGGUCAAUGGACGAGAGUCUGAACCAGCCAAGUAGCGUGAAGGAUGACUGCCCUAUGGGUUGUAAACUUCUUUUAUAUGGGAAUAAAACGUUCCACGUGUGGGAUUUUGUAUGUACCAUAUGAAUAAGGAUCGGCUAACUCCGUGCCAGCAGCCGCGGUAAUACGGAGGCUCCGAGCGUUAUCCGGAUUUAUUGGGGUUAAAGGGAGCGUAGGUGGAUUGUUAAGUCAGUUGUGAAAGUUUGCGGCUCAACCGUAAAAUUGCAGUUGAAACUGGCAGUCUUGAGUACAGUAGAGGUGGGCGGAAUUCGUGGUGUAGCGGUGAAAUGCUUAGAUAUCACGAAGAACUCCGAUUGCGAAGGCAGUUCACUGGACUGCAACUGACACUGAGGCUCGAAAGUGUGGGUAUCAAACAGGAUUAGAUACCCUUGUAGUC
rnacentral:rRNA from 1 species